rnacentral:rRNA from 1 species
AGUGAACGCUGGCGGUAGGCCUAACACAUGCAAGUCGAACGGCAGCACAGUAAGAGCUUGCUCUUACGGGUGGCGAGUGGCGGACGGUUGAUGAAUACAUCGGAAUCUACUUUUCCGUUGGGGAUAACGUAGGGAAACUUACGCUAAUACCUCAUACGACCUACGGGUGAAAGCAGGGGAUCUUCGUACCUUGCUCGAUUGACUGAGCCGAUUUCGGAUUAGCUAGUUGGCGGGGUAAAGGCCCACCAAGGCGACGAUCCGUAGCUGGUCUGAGAGGAUGUUCAGCCACACUGGAAAUGAGAAACGGUACAGACUCAUACGGGAGGAAGAAGUGGGGAAUAUUGGACAAUGGGCGAAAGCCUGAUCCAGCCAUACCGCGUGGGUGAAGAAGGCCUUCGGGUUGUAAAGCCCGUUUGUUGGGAAAGAAAAGCAGCAGGUUAAUAACCCGCUGUUCUGACGGUACCCAAAGAAUAAGCACCGGCUAAAUUAGUG